rnacentral:rRNA from 1 species
UACGUAGGGACCAAGCGUUGUUCGGAUUUACUGGGCGUAAAGGGCGCGUAGGCGGCGUGUUAAGUCACUUGUGAAAUCUCUGAGCUUAACUCAGAACGGUCAAGUGAUACUGAUGUGCUAGAGUGCAGAAGGGGCAACCGGAAUUCUUGGUGUGGCGGUGAAAUGCGUAGAUAUCAAGAGGAACACCUGAGGUGAAGACGGGUUGCUGGGCUGACACUGACGCUGAGGCGCGAAAGCUAGGGUAGCAAACGGG